UCAUUAUCUUGUUUGAACUUGGUACUGUUCUCUCUGAUAAUGAGUACCUGUUGAAAUAUAAUCAUGUUAAUAUACAUCUGUAAUAAUAUUUAUAUGCACAUUCAUAACUGGUGCAUACAUUUGUAUUGAUAUGUAAGAUGACCUUCAUACAUUAAUGUCUUUAUGCUUAUGUUUACUGAUGCUUGACUACUUUACUGAAUCCGGAGCUGCGGACUGCCUAGCCGGUUACCGGGGCUCCGUCUCGAAAAGCAGAAGUAGGAACGGGGUGGUUUUUAGCAUCUUUUCACCCCUUUCUUGUGUCUAUUCACCCUUUUAAUUCUAUUCACCCCUUUUACUAUUUUCUUAUAACAUAAUAAUUCGUUAAAUAAUGUUUUUCCGACCCAGAAAACUCGGCAACAUCCUUAACACACAAUUUUAAACGUUCAAAUACCGAAACAAUAACACAAUUCUCAAUAUUUAUUGCCUACCAUAAAAACACAGACAUUUAUGUGAAUGCAACACACAUACACACACAGACUUUCAUUUUAAAACAGUUUGUGAAAUAUAACUUUCACCUGUAUUAAAAAACGGAUGCAAUAGUGUUAGGAUUUCACGGUAUCGCGAGUUUUUUAGCUGUCUAAUGUCCGAAUACUCAAACACUACUCAAUUUUUAGACGCUCACAAUUGUUGUUCUGUCCUUAUCAAUUCUUUAUAAAAUGACAGAGAUAGCACGAUAUUUAAGUGCAACUUAAAAUUGAGUAGCAUUUCAGUAUUCGGGCGUAACACUUUGAUAUGACCUUGAUCGCUCGUGUUUCUGUUAAUCAGCCCGCUUUCCGUAUUUACUAGUGCAGGCGAUUAGAAUUUUAAAUUAAAUUUAAUCGUUCUUUUUCUGUUGUAUUGUUAAUGAUAGUGCACUGUUUUAUGGAGUAUUUUUGUUGAGAUAGUAUUUUUAUAGCGGUUUUAGUGUUAGAUGUUUAUAGGUUUUUAUAAUAUAACCAUCAUGGCUUUUAUUUUCCGUAAUGUUAGGUAGAGAGGCACUUAUUAUAUGUUAUAUUUUCGGCAGUUAUGAGUCCCGUGUAAGUACAGUACAAAUAUCAGUUAGGCAGAUAAUAAAAAGAAAAAUGCAAUUUAAUAAUACCUUUACUUAUAGUAACCUAACCAAAUAAGGCCUAUGCCCCAAUAAAGCCUAUUUUGAAAAUUUCCCUCUUCCCGAUGUCAAAUGGUCGCCAAAGUUUGUAGAAGUGUGCAUGCACAUUACUUAACUAAUUUGAGCACAGCAAGCAACCCGUGCCGCGAUUAUGUUGGAACCUACAGACGAAAACAAUCACGACGUGGAGCGCACUUUAGUUUUUAUAAAAUUCGAGUAGCGUAAACUGUUAGUAUUUUUAUAUUUAUCAGUAUAGGGGAAGUCAGCUCAAAGCGGCCAUAAGAGGCAAAGAGGCCACUCUUAAUUUUUCGGUUAUUUGAAAUGAUAGCGUAACGUUGCCUUUCUGUACGUAUAACCAAACUCCCGCCUCGCGCCAGUCACUCAUUUUCAAGCGGUGAGAAUGAACCCGUGGUUCUAGUAACGACAAAUAUUUUUUUGUGCGUUUUGUUAAAAUAAUACGAGAUGGUCAAUAACUACAAGAGAAAAACAGCGCAGGCUUCUUGGGACGGAGGAAACGCCCGGGUGUCAUCACUGUGAGGACCGCCUGGAGGACACGGUAGAACAUACGGUGGCGGUGUGCCCUGGGUGGGCUGAGCACCGCCAAGUCCUCAGGGACCUCUCGCGCCCAGCACUGGUUCAGGCCAUGGUGCGGACGCGAGAGGGACUGGGAUGCCGUCUCCUCCUUCUGCGAAGCAGUCAUGCUAGCUAAGGAAGAGGCGGGGCGCGUGAGAGAACAAACCUCCUCACGCCCCAGCCGUCGCGAGAGACACUCCGGGCGUCGGGGAUCGCGGGACGAUCUCCGGCCACCGUAAAGCCGGGUCCAGACGAGUGUAACGUGUAAUGUAAUCCACCGUGUAAUGUAACAUGAAUUCUUCAGCGCGAGUGUUACAUGUAAUGCUCGUACUGCCGUCCAAACGUAGAAUUCGUGUUACAUUACACGGUGGAUUACAUUACACGUUACACUCGUCUGGACCCGGCUGUAAGUGCGGGUCUGCGGACGGCGAGCAAGGGUAGCUCACCGCUCGAACAGAACUAGACCCGUGUGUGCGGCGCGUCGCGUUCCGUGCGCGCCUCAAAGAGCCAUCAGACCACCACAGAUGGGGCCCAGUAGGGCUGAUGCCUGGUCCGGAGCUGCGGACUACCUAGCGGGUUUACCGGGGCUCCGGCUCGAAAAGCAGGAGAAGGAACGGGGUGGUUUUUAGUCAGUAAGAGUCUGACACUCCCUGUCGCCUCGCCCAAGGCGGGAGAAGUCAUUGGAUGUUUUUCCCCCUCAAAAAAAAGGCUUCUUAGGACGAAGCUAGGUAUAGGUAAAAACUCGUAGAUUAUGCAUAGAAGAUAUUAAGACUUAAAAUAAUAGAAGUAAGUAGAACUUACAUUAUUAUUGAUUGAGAUUGAUAAAUAAAAUUAUGACUGACUGUGAUUAAAAUAGGUAAAAUGUUGUUGAUUUUUUUAUGUGAAUUAUAUGUGUUGAUUUUU